rnacentral:rRNA from 1 species
GGAUCCAGACUUUGAUUCUGGCUCAGGAUGAACGCUAGCUACAGGCUUAACACAUGCAAGUCGAGGGGAAACGACAUCGAAAGCUUGCUUUUGAUGGGCGUCGACCGGCGCACGGGUGAGUAACGCGUAUCCAACCUGCCCAUCACUUGGGGAUAACCUUGCGAAAGUAAGACUAAUACCCAAUGACGUCUCUAGAAGACAUCUUAAAGAGAUUAAAGAUUUAUCGGUGAUGGAUGGGGAUGCGUCUGAUUAGCUUGUUGGCGGGGUAACGGCCCACCAAGGCGACGAUCAGUAGGGGUUCUGAGAGGAAGGUCCCCCACAUUGGAACUGAGACACGGUCCAAACUCCUACGGGAGGCAGCAGUGAGGAAUAUUGGUCAAUGGGCGAGAGCCUGAACCAGCCAAGUAGCGUGCAGGAUG